rfam:Sphaerobolus stellatus SS14 unplaced genomic scaffold SPHSTscaffold_1, whole genome shotgun sequence.
GUCCGUAUAGAUCAGUGGUUAGAUCGUUUGCUUUACACGCAAAAGGCCGCAGGUUCGAAACCUGCUACGGACA